GAUUUAAGACAGGACUCUCUCCUAAAGCGAGGCAAAGGGAAUUAACUACCUACCUCGCAGGAGCACUGUAAGGGCACAUUUUAGGGGGAAGUGCUUUGGAAAUGGAAAUGUUCAUAAAAACAUCAGAUUUUAAAUAUAUGACUAAGCUGUGCCAGUCCCUGUGUAAGUUGUUCCUGGGUGACUGAGCUGCUUCAGGACCUGUGUUAGCCUCUAUUGCUCCCCUCUUUUGCAGAAGAAAAAAGUAUUUUAGCUUUACUCACUCCCUUCCGGAAAAGCACAUAGCAGACAACAACAAAAAGGCAUUUUAAAGUUUCCGGAGGCUGGUGUUCUGUAAGGAGAGGACUGCAGAAGCCUGAACCACCAGUUUCAACAGGCAAAUCUCAGGAGAUUUUCCAAAUCUUCAGUAGGGGAGACCUUCAGGACGUCAGGACCUGGUCUGGCUGCUGUUGUUUGCACAUAGUCUGUGGAGCUGGGACCUCCCUGGAGCUUCGCCAGAGCUCUGAACUCCCCCUCCUUGCCU
rnacentral:lncRNA from 1 species